rnacentral:rRNA from 1 species
UACAGAGGGUGCGAGCGUUAAUCGGAAUUACUGGGCGUAAAGCGUGCGUAGACGGUUAUUUAAGUCGGGUGUGAAAGCCCCGGGCUCAACCUGGGAAUUGCAUUCGAGACUGAAUAGCUAGGGUACGGUAGAGGGAAGUGGAAUUUCCGGUGUAGCGGUGAAAUGCGUAGAUAUCGGGAGGAACACCGGUGGCGAAGGCGGAUCUCUGGGCCUUACCUGACGCUGAGGAGCGAAAGCAUGGGGAGCAAACAGG